rnacentral:pre_miRNA from 1 species
AAGGUUACUUGUUAGUUCAGGACCUCAUUCUUUCCUGCCUGAACUAUUGUAGUAGCCUCCU